UGGGGAAUAUUGGGCAAUGGGGGAAACCCUGACCCAGCAACGCCGCGUGAGGGAAGAAGGUCUUCGGAUUGUAAACCUUUGUCCUAUGGGACGAAAGAAAUGACGGUACCAUAGGAGGAAGCUCCGGCUAACUACGUGCCAGCAGCCGCGGUAAUACGUAGGGAGCAAGCGUUGUCCGGAAUUACUGGGCGUAAAGGGUGCGUAGGUGGUCAAGUAAGUCAGAUGUGAAAGACCGGGGCUCAACCCCGGGUUGGCAUUUGAAACUGUUUGACUUGAGUACAGGAGAGGGAAGUGGAAUUCCUAGUGUAGCGGUGAAAUGCGUAGAUAUUAGGAGGAACACCAGUGGCGAAGGCGACUUUCUGGACUGUAACUGACACUGAGGCACGAAAGCGUGGGGAGCAAACAGGAUUAGAUACC
rnacentral:rRNA from 1 species